rnacentral:tRNA from 1 species
GAGGGUAUAGUUCAGUGGUAGAGCAUAUGCUUAGCAUGCAUGAGGUCCUGGGUUCAAUCCCUAAUACUUCCU